GUAGUCUCGCACAGAUGCAUAUCAAUAAGCGGAGGAAAAGAAACUAACAAGGAUUCCCUUAGUAACGGCGAGUGAAGCGGGAAGAGCUCAGAUUUGAAAUCUUCAAGGUUUUACCUUGACGAAUUGUAGUUUAAAGAAGUGUUUUCUGUUGAAGUUUUGGCAAAAGUUCUUUGGAAUAGGACAUCAUAGAGGGUGAGAAUCCCGUAUUUGACCAUUAUUUUCAGCUGUGUGAUACACUUUCAAAGAGUCGGAUUGUUUGGGAAGGCAGUCCAAAAUGGGUGGUAAAUUUCAUCUAAAGCUAAAUAUUGGCGAGAGACCGAUAGCGAACAAGUACUGUGAGGGAAAGAUGAAAAGAACUUUGAAAAGAGAGUUAAACAGUACGUGAAAUUGUCAAAAGGGAAGCGUUUUGACACCAGUGUUGUUUUCUCGAAAAUCAAUUAAAAAGAGUUAGAUUUUGUUGUGUAUUGACCUUAACAGCUUGCAUUUCAAUUUUCUUGCUUUUUUUAAUGCACUUUUCGUUUAACAAGUCAACAUCAGUUUCUUUUGUUGUAAAAAGGUCAUUGGAAGGUGGCUUUCUUUUCGGAGAAAGUGUUUAUAGCCUUUGACUCCUGCAAUCGGAGAGACUGAGGUCUGCAGCGUAGAUCCUUCGGGGUUAGAUACAUUUGUGCUAAGUUAUAGCUUUUUAUAGACAACUUGUUGACUAUGAUUAGUCUUGUAGCUUACUCGCUUAUGCUAUUUUACCUACGCUUAGGAUGUUGAGCGCAUGUCUCUCUCU
rnacentral:rRNA from 1 species